CCCUUAGAUGUUCUGGGCCGCACGCGCGCUACACUGACGAAUGCAACGAGCUUAUAACCUUGGCCGAAAGGUCUGGGUAAUCUCCAAAUUUCGUCGUGAUGGGGAUAGAUUAUUGCAAUUAUUAAUCUUCAACGAGGAAUGCCUAGUAAGCGCAAGUCAUCAGCUUGCGUUGAUUACGUCUCUGCCCUUUGUACACACCGCCCGUCGCUCCUACCGAUUGAAUGGUCCGGUGAAGCGUUCGGACCGUGGCCUUUGGACGGUUCGCCGUCUGUUGGCUGCGGGAAGUUCGUUAAACCUUAUCAUUUAGAGGAAGGAGAAGUCGUAACA
rnacentral:rRNA from 1 species